rnacentral:rRNA from 1 species
UACGGAGGGAGCUAGCGUUGUUCGGAAUUACUGGGCGUAAAGGGCUCGUAGGCGGCCAACUAAGUCGGAUGUGAAAUCCCCAGGCUCAACUUGGGAACUGCAUCCGAUACUGGAUGGCUUGAAUUCGGGAGAGGGAUGCAGAAUUCCAGGUGUAGCGGUGAAAUGCGUAGAUAUCUGGAGGAAUACCGGUGGCGAAGGCGGCAUCCUGGACCGACAUUGACGCUGAGGAGCGAAAGCUAGGGGAGCAAACGGG